AGAUAGAAAGUUACUUCGGUUACAUCGGUGACAGGUGGUGCAUGGUUGUCGUCAGCUCGUGUCGUGAGAUGUUGGGUUAAGUCCCGCAACGAGCGCAACCCCUAUUGUUAGUUGCCAUCAUUCAGUUGGGCACUCUAGCGAGACUGCCGGUAAUAAACCGGAGGAAGGUGGGGAUGACGUCAAAUCAUCAUGCCCCUUAUGACCUGGGCUACACACGUGCUACAAUGGUUGGUACAACGAGUUGCGAGUCGGUGACGGCGAGCUAAUCUCUUAAAGCCAAUCUCAGUUCGGAUUGUAGGCUGCAACUCGCCUACAUGAAGUCGGAAUCGCUAGUAAUCGCGGAUCAGCACGCCGCGGUGAAUACGUUCCCGGGCCUU
rnacentral:rRNA from 1 species